UUUAAUGCAUUUUGCAGCUCUUAUCUUGAUUUAACAUCAGUUUACCUGGUUUACAGGUGGGGAUAUCAUCUAAUUUUUUAUUUACAAACACUGGCACCAGGUUAACUUUCCCAGAUUUCUUUCUCCUCAGUAUUUUACAAUUGCCCCAGUAUUUUACAAUACUUCAAAAGAUACAGUGAAAGAUGCACAGACCUUCAGGGCUACCCACAAAAAUAAUGUAAGGACAAAGUUCCCACUAGCCCUAAUGGGUUUUACUUUCAUGAUACGUUUUCAAUUAUGGAAAACUGAAUAUGCAACAAACAAAACCACCUAAGUUUCUGGUUUGUUUGCGUGUAACUGGUGCAUUCUCACCUGAGAUGAUACUAUCCAUCUUCCUACUAGUGUUUCCAGCCUCUCUCCACCUCAUUCUACCCACUUCCCCUUCCCUCUGUCUCUUUAAAGUGUGUCAGGCCCCUCUGCCUCACUUCAGGUGCCCUACUUGCUCCUCAGGAAGAUCCAGUAGUACCACUGAACUGCAUUGAUUUGGUGCUUCAAUUUGUCCCAUUUGAAGGUGACAGCUAAGGGAGAAGGAGCAAGAAGGGAUUUUGUCUCCCUUGGAAGGACAAGGAUGACUUGGAACCAUGCCCUGCCCAUCUGAAAUAAAUACUGUUUGAUUUUCAUGUUGAGAACAUCCAAACUUCUCUUUCUCCAUCUUGCUGGCACAGCUAUCACAGACAUUUCAGAAAUGGAAGAGUCUCAUCCCAGCCUUUCCUGUGCUCAGAUACAGGAGGUAGACUGCUUGUAAGGGGCAACCAUUUCAUUUGAAACUGUAACUAACAGGAAAAAAUUAACCCCAGGUAGGUGUGUUCCCUUCUUUGGAAAAAACCCUCCUGCUUUCUGAAGUCAGAAGUUCAUGUACCAUGUCAGCCUGGGACAAACACAGGGGUCGCCCUCUCAAUAACUUCCCCUACUUCCUGGUUUGGGAUCUCUAGAACUGUCCCCUGGGCUCCUUUCUUAGCACAAAGUUCUCCUCUCACAGAACUUCUUUUCCAUAUUCCUAGACCACCUUGCUGCCCCUGGAGAAGGGCGAGACCUUGGGAAUGACUGCACAGCAGCUGGCAAGGCUCAGGCAGCCAGGAACCCCAGAGGCCCAAUUCAGGGCUGCACAGCUGAGCAGGCAGCAAGAAAGACCAACCAAUUUCCCUUGAGUGCACAGCAAAACUACAGCAAUUAGAGGGCAUUUUUUGCAAAUGGUGAGUUCUUGGGUCUUCUUUCACAAUUUCCAUGUUGAGCAUCAUCUCAGUCUGUGGCUACAUGGGAAGGCUAUUAGGCUAUUUUCUGUAAGAAAACAAAGCCUUAGAAUUUAACACCAAGUUUCUCCUCAGCAAUUUUCCAAGGAUGUGAAAGAGGUUACUUUAUUCCACAGCAGGCACGAUUAGCUCAGCUGAAUGUAAAGACUGAUCCGCCAAUUCUUUACAGUUUGUUUCUUUAUUCAGUAAACAUCUAGUUACAAGUUUCACAAAUUAAAAAAGUGGGGGAGCUGAUUGAAGAGGGGUCGGGGGCCCACAGGCUGAUCCAGCUUUUGUUCUGCUCCUCCCUUCUCCAACACACAGAUCCCUCUGCUUCUCCACAGAUGUGCCAAGGAGCAGCAGGGGAAUCGAAGCCUCUGUCCCGGUGAGGGGACUGACAGGCGGUUCUAGCAGAAUUCCCUCGUAUUCCUUUCACAGGGGACUAAACACAAACUUCAGAACCAGCCCAACCCAGCACAGAAAGAGUGGAAAGGAUGGAAGAGGCAAGGUGGCAGCUCCUCAUGCCCAGCACUACUGGCAGAAAGAACAGAGCCGAGGGACAGCAGAGAGGGAAUGGGCAAUUAAUGUGUUCCUUGCACAUCAGUGAGAUUCCCCAUGCCCCACUGCAGCACCCAAAUGGGGUGAAAAAGAGCAAUGCAGAAGAUUAGUUGCUUUGUUUCAAUUCUUAAGUGGGAGGGAGGUUAAUACUAAAUUUGAGGAGGGUCCAAGUGGUGCUUUGAAGGGGCUUCAGAGUUUCAC